AUGAUCCCAUUAUUUGAAAGGUGUGGGAGAUCCCAGGCCUUCGAUUGCUUUCUGGCGCUCGUCUGCUCCAAGUCCCGCAGGUCAACAUCAAUGAUGUUGAAUCACCCAUUACAUGUAUUUGACCGUCUAGACAUGAUAUGGAGAGACCCUGAACUGUACCGAAGACAAGGUGCUCUCGACAGUUGCAAUCCUUACCCUCAGCUAAACCUCACAGUGCUUUGUUUAAACGACUACCCACGAGCGAGCUAUUUCCUCUCAGAACCACGUUUUUCUUUAUUAAAAUCACUGAUGCACAUCUGAAAAAAAAAUCAUCUAAAGAAUAGACUUAGAAUUCCAUUCUUUUUAAAUGAACGCAUCAGUGGACAUCUGGGCCCUCACCUUAGACCUGAGCUUCAUGGUGGCUAUAACUGGGGUUGAGCUUUGUGUGAGAGUAUUGAAGCAACCGCAAAGAGUAAGAUGAAGCUCUGGUCUCCUGUAGAGACAUAAAUGAGUUUCCAAAAUGUUAAAUGUUAAACCCAGGGAAAAGGCAGGGACUAAAUUCAAGGUUUAGUGACAUGUAGGAGGAGUGAGUUGGAUCCUGGAACGCAACCUAGAGACACACCCUGAGCAAGGGUUGGAGAGGAAAGUGGUAGCACGUGUUGGUGACCUAAUCUGUGCUAAGCAGGGAGCCCGUCAGGACUCAAUGUGUUAAUGGUCAAGUCUUCACUUACAAAAAAUUAAGCCUUUCUGUUUGUAUUUUAUGACGUUAAAAUAGCUCUAUACUGGAGGAAAUAUAUUGGGUUACUCCAUUCUUAUGUAGUAGUAAACUCUAUUAUCUUUUUUCAUUUUAACAAAAUUGACUAUAUUACAUUGAUCCAGAAUCCACAGAGAAUUAAACCUUGAUAAUUUAGGGACACCUGGUGGCUCAGCAGCUGCGUAUCAGCCUUCAGCUCAGGGCGUGAUCCUGGAGACCUGGGAUCGAGUCCUGCAUCAGGCUCCCUGUGAGGAGCCUGCUUCUCCCUCUGUCGUGUCUCUGCCUCUUCCUCUGUGUGUCUCAUGAAUAAAUAAAUAAAAAUCUUUAAAAAAAAAACCUUG
rnacentral:lncRNA from 1 species